UUUGAGGAGAGCGAGCGAGGAAGCCACGCCCCUCCCCACGCCGCCCCGCCCUCUCUGGACGUGGCCGCGCCCCCUCGCUCGCCGCUUGGUUUGCCAGGCGUGGUCUUUACCUCAGGUAGCGUGGCGGCUUGUUUAAACAGCGUGGAAAUUUUCUGGAUAUUUUUAAGUACUGUUUUAAGCCUGGACGGUCUGUUUAGCCUUUAAACACGACGUCUGGCUACUUGUGGUUUUUGUCUGAGGCCGACUUCAUUAUGGAGCCACACAAGAGGAAGAAUUCAGGAAAACUGUCCCUGAAAAAAUGGCUGAUUCUUGAGAUGUGAAUUUUUGGAUCUAAUGACUGACUCGGUUCAUCCAGAGUUUGGAAUUUCCCCAGGGAAGCCACUACCACUGCUUUUGAAGAACAAACUAAUUGGGAAGACUGUAGCCAACUCAUCAUUGGUCAGUUUCUGGUCACAGGACUUUUGUAGGUGGUGGACCAUUCUCAACACAGCAGUUACACUGACAUGGUGGAGUGUAUCAGGCACAGCAGUGUUGAUAAAGAUUUCCAAACAUCAAUGUCACCGCUUGGUCAGGAGACACCCAAAGAGAUCCAAUCAAGAGCAGCUCUGCGGUCAGAAACCGACCACUGAUUACAUGCUUGAACUCAAAUUGUGGGAACACAUAGGUUUCACUCUCUGACUGUGUAAAACAAAGUGCAGCUACAUGUUAGCAGUUUCUAAUAAUGUUGCUGAACAAUGUGUGUACAGUGUUUAUAUGUCUUAGAUGCCUGAACAGUUAUGAUUUAUCAGGCAAGAUGUGUUUAU